CUUUCUCAUGCAUGUGGGCAGUCAGCUGGUGCCAGCAGAAAGGUCUCUGGUCAGGUUGGUGAACAGCCUCUCCCCAGCUGUCAACAAGAUUCUCACCUGGCAAGUAACAUGCCCCUGAAGCCACAGCUUCUACCCUCGGAUGAUGAGCACCAAAGUACAAGCCCCCAGCAGAACCUGGGACCUGGACAGCUCCCCCAGUGUGCCACCAAAAGAGGAGAUACCAUGAGCCCAGGUUCUAGGUUGUGGAGCCUCAGGGCAGGACACAGGCAUGGAGCCUAUCCUGAACUGCAGGUAGGAGUCUAACUCUGUGACCAAGGUCCUCUUCACCUCAGGGAAUGCUAUGAGCCUCUGCCUCCUCCAAGGAUUCUGAGCUGUUCAGCUGUCCCAUCUUUCAGCCCUGCUUGUUACCUACACACUGUAUGUGACUCUGGGGUUCAGAAAUCAAACACAGGGGUGGAGAAAACAUGACUGGGAGGGAUAGUUUGUGGAAAAAGAAAUUUGGAUUGGAGAAUGUUGGUCAAGAAAAUCACUCAUUAAGUGUUCACUGAUUGUCUAUGCAGGGGAGGAAAUCAUUUUUUCUAUGUCUUUCAAGAUUUUUCUAGCUGGACUAAGAAUUAAAUUGACAUGAAACAGAUUAAUAGGAGAAAAUCAAAUUUAAUUUCAUACAUAUGGG
rnacentral:lncRNA from 1 species